GUAAAUUUUAAAUUUUGUAUUGGAUUUGGUCUUUUUAUUGAGGAUAUGGUAAUUUAGUGUCCAUUAUGGUGUUUCUUAAUUGCUUUUUGCUUUUUAUUAUAUCUAUCGGAUUUUAAUCUAAAGAUUAAAAAUCUGUGUGAUACGAUUAUAAAAAUCUUUCGAAAGAUGUAUAGUUACU
rnacentral:snRNA from 1 species